rfam:Pongo abelii chromosome 8.
GGUAAAAUGGCUGAGUAAACAUUAGACUGUAAAUCUGAAGAUGGAGGUUAAGGCCUCUUUUUACCA